UUUGCAGAGAGCCAAUAUUAGACGUAAUCACCGAUUACGAUGAGACUUUGCAUGACGGGAAACAAAUUGUUCAGAUUCCGAGCAUACAGAUAUAGCGCCAAUGCUGAUCCAUCAAGGUACAGCGGCUAUAAAACCUGCUAGAUCAUCUAUACCUUGGAGUCUUGCCACCAACUUAAUUUUUUGCAGCCAAGCGGUCACAUCUCCCUCGCCACAAAAUGGCCUAACCGUCUCAUUUGAAACACGGACCAUACCCAUCAUUUUUUUUUUCUCGUUUGAGCCAAAAUAGCUUGUGAUGUAAAGGAAGAAGAAAAAAAGACAGAAGUGAAUAGAGAAUUAUGGUAGUCUUACUUGUCGGUCCGGAGAAAGGGUCACUUUCAACAUCCAUGUGCCGUCACGAUCUCCAAGGUUCACUCCGUGUCCACGUGCACUAUCCAAUGCUCUACCUUUUCACAUGUCUGCUCUGAUGUGCUGUUCGCCGCCGACUGACCCUCAGGCUUCACUGAAUGCCACAUGUUCACUGUGGCACUUUUGGCGGGAUCCACAGGACAUGCCUACUCCCUCACUUCUGAUCCUUCCCUACAACACAGCCUGGCUCAUAACACCACAUGAUGAUUGCAAAGAUCAAGGUUAAGGUUCCAUUUGGGUACAAAUAAAAACAAUUUUUUAGUAA